ensembl:lncRNA
AUGAAUUAUUCAAUGAAUGAGAAAUCCUUAAAGAACUGUAACAUUUUCUAGUUUCUAUGCGGGUAUGUUUAAUCAAUUUUAUGUUUUAAAUGGUAGCAUCUCUAUAUGAUCCUUCAUCUGCAUUGAGUAUGUUUUCUAGAGAAUAUAGUUUUUGUCUCCAGUGCUGCAAAUCUUGGACUGCUUUGAACAAUUUCAGCCAAACAUUGUGAUCCGGUGAACGACAGCUAUUUCAGCUGCAAACUGCAGCUGAGUGCGAGGUAUUCAGGUUAGGAAUUCGUCCAUAAUGGCUGGUGGAUUGUCCCAAAUGUACUUGCAGAACUGACAUUUGGUUUCUCAAGUGAAAUUUAAGUUUUCCUCAGGACUAAUGCUAGAAAGAAUACGUGCAUGUGUGUGUGAGUUCUUGUACGCUUUUAAUGUAAAGGUUCUUGGACAGCACUAGAAAUCCAUGUACAAACAGGUCACCAGUGUUGCAUGUGCUUAAAAAUGUAUUGGAAUAAAUGUUGCAGUGAAGAGAAUACAAUACAGAGAAAUCUCAAAAUGUAAUUCAUGUUUUAAUGGGUUAUUUUUCCACUUUUUUUUUUUUUUUGUCUUAUUUAGCUGUCUCCAAUCUCCUAGUUUCCUUUUAUACUUGAAUGUAAUUUAAAGCAAUUUCUUAUAACUUCUGAAAGUCUUGAGACACCUAAAGUGAAGGUUUGGGGGGAGAUGAGAGAUAAUGUCUCUGCUGCACAUUCUUCUGAAGCCUUUGAUUCAUUCUCUUAAACAUGUUCUUCAAAACAAAGCCUUAAGGAAACACAGCUUCAUUACAAUGAUGUAAAGAAUUCACAGCACCCUAAAUGGGCUCUCGUUUGUCCACAACAGAUUCUGAGAACUGCCAAGUAUGGCCCUCCUUACCAAACCCCUACAAAAUACCCAGUGAGGAACUACUGGGACCACAUCAUCCAUUUUUCGUUUUGUUUGGGCCCUGUUGGUGCAUCUAAUAUCAAAACUUUCAAGCUGUGCAGGGACAAGCUCAAGUAAAGAGAACACCCAGAAUCACCCAAGGGCAGGUGAUUUACAGAAGGUACUUUGCAAUUUUUAGAAAAGAAAUUUUCUUGCAGAGAAUUCUGCACAGGUGGUGUGUAUUCAGAAUGGAUCACUUAUACACUUCUGGUUUAUAUUUUCUG